UUAGUAAAAAAUUAUGACUUCCAAUCAUUAAAAGAUUUUGUGUCUUACUAAA
rnacentral:tRNA from 1 species